rnacentral:rRNA from 1 species
AACUAACGCUGGCGGCGUGCCUAACACAUGCAAGUCGUACGAGAAAGCCGGCUUCGGCUGGUGAGUAAAGUGGCGCACGGGUGAGUAACGCGUGGAUAAUCUGCCCUUAAGUGUGGAAUAACGUACCGAAAGGUGCGCUAAUACCGCAUAAUGCCUGGCAACACAAGUUGUCCGGCCAAAGAAGGCCUCUGUUUACAAGCUUUCGCUUCAGGAUGAGUCCGCGUACCAUUAGCUUGUUGGUGGGGUAAUGGCCUACCAAGGCUGCGAUGGUUAGCUGGUCUGAGAGGAUGAUCAGCCACACUGGAACUGAGACACGGUCCAGACUCCUACGGGAGGCAGCAGUGAGGAAUAUUGCGCAAAUGGGGGCAACCCUGACGCAGCAACGCCGCGUGAGUGAGGAAGGUUUUCGGACUGUAAAAGCUCUGUCGAGCGGGAAGAAGUGUACCAUGGCUAAUAUCCAUGAUAUUUGACGUACCGCUAGAG